rnacentral:lncRNA from 10 species
UUAGACUUGGAAGCUCCUGCAAGAAAUGAUGGAUGUCCUCGAGGGAACGUACAUACCUUGGGCUCUCGGGCAAGAUUCAUGGCAUGGCUGCUGACCGGCUGGACAGAUGGGACUUCUCUGAUUUUUAACCAAGCAUUCUUCCUGAAGAUGAAAGUGUCCCACGUCAUCUUGUUGGGAUGAUGUACCAGGAUCUGUGCUGCUUUAAAAAUGCACAAAAUCCCUGGUACUUUGGAGUUG